UACGGAGGAUGCGAGCGUUAUCCGGAUUUAUUGGGUUUAAAGGGUGCGCAGGCGGAUUUUUAAGUCAGCGGUCAAAUCGUGGGGCUCAACCCCAUCCAGCCGUUGAAACUGGGGAUCUAGAGUGUGCGAGAGGUAUGCGGAAUGCGUGGUGUAGCGGUGAAAUGCAUAGAUAUCACGCAGAACCCCGAUUGCGAAGGCAGCAUACCGGUGCACAACUGACGCUCAGGCACGAAAGCGUGGGUAUCGAACAGG
rnacentral:rRNA from 1 species